AGAGUUUGAUCCUGGCUCAGAUUGAACGCUGGCGGCAGGCCUAACACAUGCAAGUCGAACGGUAGCACAGAGAGCUUGCUCUCGGGUGACGAGUGGCGGACGGGUGAGUAAUGUCUGGGAAACUGCCUGAUGGAGGGGGAUAACUACUGGAAACGGUAGCUAAUACCGCAUAACGUCGCAAGACCAAAGAGGGGGACCUUCGGGCCUCUUGCCAUCAGAUGUGCCCAGAUGGGAUUAGCUAGUAGGCGGGGUAAUGGCCCACCUAGGCGACGAUCCCUAGCUGGUCUGAGAGGAUGACCAGCCACACUGGAACUGAGACACGGUCCAGACUCCUACGGGAGGCAAGCAGUGGGGAAUAUUGCACAAUGGGCGCAAGCCUGAUGCAGCCAUGCCGCGUGUGUGAAGAAGGCCUUCGGGUUGUAAAGCACUUUCAGCGGGGAGGAAGGCGGUACGGUUAAUAACCGUGCUGAUUGACGUUACCCGCAGAAGAAGCACCGGCUAACUCCGUGCCAGCAGCCGCGGUAAUACGGAGGGUGCAAGCGUUAAUCGGAAUUACUGGCGUAAAGCGCACGCAGCGGUCUUGUCAAGUCGAUGUGAAAUCCCGGCUCAACCUGGGACUGCAUUCGAAACUGGCAGGCUGGAAU
rnacentral:rRNA from 1 species